rnacentral:rRNA from 1 species
AUUGAACGCUGGCGGAAUGCUUUACACAUGCAAGUCGAACGGCAGCACGGGGGCAACCCUGGUGGCGAGUGGCGAACGGGUGGGUAAUACAUCGGAACGUGCCCAGUCGUGGGGGAUAACUACGCGAAAGCGUAGCUAAUACCGCAUACGAUCUACGGAUGAAAGCGGGGGAUCGCAAGACCUCGCGCGAUUGGAGCGGCCGAUGGCAGAUUAGGUUGUUGGUGAGGUAAAGGCUCACCAAGCCGACGAUCUGUAGCUGGUCUGAGAGGACGACCAGCCACACUGGGACUGAGACACGGCCCAGGCUCCUACGGGAGGCAGCAGUGGGGAAUUUUGGACAAUGGGCGCAAGCCUGAUCCAGCCAUUCCGCGUGCAGGAUGAAGGCCCUCGGGUUGUAAACUGCUUUUGUACGGAACGAAACGGCGCUCUCUAAUACAGGGCGCUAAUGACGGUACCGUAAGAAUAAGCACCGGCUAACUACGUGCCAGCAGCCGCCGUAAGAC